rnacentral:rRNA from 1 species
CUCCCAAACCCAUGUGAACUUAUCUCUUUGUUGCCUCGGCGCAAGCUACCCGGGACCUCGCGCCCCGGGCGGCCCGCCGGCGGACAAACCAAAACUCUUGUUAUCUUAGUUGAUUAUCUGAGUGUCUUAUUUAAUAAGUCAAAACUUUCAACAACGGAUCUCUUGGUUCUGGCAUCGAUGAAGAACGCAGCGAAAUGCGAUAAGUAAUGUGAAUUGCAGAAUUCAGUGAAUCAUCGAAUCUUUGAACGCACAUUGCGCCCAUUAGUAUUCUAGUGGGCAUGCCUGUUCGAGCGUCAUUUCAACCCCUAAGCACAGCUUAUUGUUGGGAACCUACGGCUUCGUAGUUCCUCAAAGACAUUGGCGGAGUGGCAGUGGUCCUCUGAGCGUAGUAAUCUUUUAUCUCGCUUCUGUUAGGUGCUGCCCCCCCGGCCGUAAAACCCCCAAUUUUUUCUGGUUGACCUCGGAUCAGGUAGGAAUACCCGCUGAACUUAAGCAUAUCAAA